UACAGAGGUGGCAAGCGUUGUUCGGAAUUACUGGGCGUAAAGCGCACGUAGGCGGAUUGUUAAGUCAGGGGUGAAAUCCUGGAGCUCAACUCCAGAACUGCCUUUGAUACUGGCGAUCUCGAGUCCGGGAGAGGUGAGUGGAACUGCGAGUGUAGAGGUGAAAUUCGUAGAUAUUCGCAAGAACACCAGUGGCGAAGGCGGCUCACUGGCCCGGUACUGACGCUGAGGUGCGAAAGCGUGGG
rnacentral:rRNA from 1 species